UAUUGGACAAUGGGCGCAAGCCUGAUCCAGCCAUGCCGCGUGAGUGAUGAAGGCCUUAGGGUUGUAAAGCUCUUUUGCCGGGGACGAUAAUGACGGUACCCGGAGAAUAAGUCCCGGCUAACUUCGUGCCAGCAGCCGCGGUAAUACGAAGGGGACUAGCGUUGUUCGGAAUCACUGGGCGUAAAGCGCACGUAGGCGGAUCAUUUAGUCAGGGGUGAAAUCCCGGGGCUCAACCUCGGAACUGCCUUUGAUACUGAUGGUCUCGAGUCCGAUAGAGGUGGGUAGAAUUCCUAGUGUAGAGGUGAAAUUCGUAGAUAUUAGGAAGAAUACCGGUGGCGAAGGCGGCCCACUGGAUCGGUACUGACGCUGAGGUGCGAAAC
rnacentral:rRNA from 1 species